UCAUUAGGUGAAGUAAUUACAGUGUUAACUGCAAAACUUUCAUGGAAACCACUGUUUGCACAGCUGCCUAGGGAAUAAUCAUCAUGUCCUCUCCUGGUUGGAGGUUGGAAGGCAAAAUGUUGGUAACAAUGUUUUGGUGAAGCGAAAUGGUCAAGUGGGUGCAUUACGUCGAGUGACGUGUUGUUGCGGUCAUCGGUCACCAUUGACACAUUGGAAUCGAUC
rnacentral:lncRNA from 1 species